GAUGAACGCUAGCGGCAGGCCUAAUACAUGCAAGUCGAGGGGUAGAAGAGGCUUGCUUCUUUGAGACCGGCGCACGGGUGCGUAACGCGUAUGCAACCUACCUUCAUCUGGGGGAUAGCCCGGAGAAAUCCGGAUUAAUACCGCAUAAAAUCACAGGAUGGCAUUAUCCAAUGAUCAAACAUUUAUGGGAUGGAGAUGGGCAUGCGUGUCAUUAGCUAGUUGGCGGGGUAACGGCCCACCAAGGCGACGAUGACUAGGGGAUCUGAGAGGAUGGCCCCCCACACUGGUACUGAGACACGGACCAGACUCCUACGGGAGGCAGCAGUAAGGAAUAUUGGUCAAUGGAGGCAACUCUGAACCAGCCAUGCCGCGUGCAGGAAGACUGCCCUAUGGGUUGUAAACUGCUUUUAUUCGGGAAUAAACCUUAUUACGUGUAAUAAGCUGAAUGUACCGAAGGAAUAAGGAUCGGCUAACUCCGUGCCAGCAGCCGCGGUAAUAC
rnacentral:rRNA from 1 species